UGGGGAAUUUUGGACAAUGGGGGCAACCCUGAUCCAGCCAUCCCGCGUGUGCGAUGAAGGCCUUCGGGUUGUAAAGCACUUUUGGCAGGGAAGAAACAGCCUGGGAUAAUACCCCGGGCGACUGACGGUACCUGCAGAAUAAGCACCGGCUAACUACGUGCCAGCAGCCGCGGUAAUACGUAGGGUGCAAGCGUUAAUCGGAAUUACUGGGCGUAAAGCGUGCGCAGGCGGUUCGGAAAGAAAGGUGUGAAAUCCCAGGGCUUAACCUUGGAACUGCACUUUUAACUACCGAGCUAGAGUACGUCAGAGGGGGGUAGAAUUCCACGUGUAGCAGUGAAAUGCGUAGAGAUGUGGAGGAAUACCGAUGGCGAAGGCAGCCCCCUGGGAUGAUACUGACGCUCAUGCACGAAAGCGUGGGGAGCAAACAGGAUUAGAUACCCUGGUAGUCCACGCCCUAAACGAUGUCAACUAGCUGUUGGGGUUUAUUAACCUUAGUAGCGCAGCUAACGCGUGAAGUUGACCGCCUGGGGGGUACGGUCGCAAGAUUAAAAC
rnacentral:rRNA from 1 species